AUUAUUUUGAGUGUGAUGGACAAAUAUAAAACUAUACUUCUAGAAUAUGCAAGUAUAUAAAAUAUCACUAAUCCAGAAUAAAGUUGUAUGCAGUGGGGGUCAUGUGAAGCUUAGCGAAAAGUCCAAGUAAUACAUUUGUUACCUGCACUUUAGCUUCCUUAUCUAUAAAACAAAGAUAAUACCUACCUCACAGGUUUUAAGUAUUACACGAAAAUCUUAUGUAAAUUCCUAUUACAAAUGCCUGGUAAGUAAGCACUAAGAAAAUUCAGUGUUUAAGUAGAUAUGUCAGAUCAUAUUCUGGUGUGAAACAAAUGUACUUUAUUUUCAAGGGAUCUGCCAAUAUCCAGGUUACAGAUUCUAGGGCACUUGGGUCUGCCAACCUAUCUGGGGUUUCCCAGAAUCUUUCCUCAAACUCUUGGGAUUUGACCUAGGAAAUGGGGAGAGAUCCUGUCUCCUCAGAGACCUGCUGCUGAGGACAUUUCUUUCUCUUACUUGUUUCCUUCUGAUUUGGGGAAUCUGUGUGUAUGUGACAGGGAAGUUGGUAGGAAGCCCUGUUUGCACUUUUUUUUCUGGUCUUUUUGCUAGGUCCAGGGCCUAAGCUUUUCAAAGUUGACAUAGUUUAUAUUUAAUAAGUAUUUGAGUGUAUAUUAUGGCCAGCACUUUGGGAUGUGCAUGGGAUAAUGGAUAAGACGUAGGCUCUAACAUUACAGCCUAGAAUAUCAGAGGAACAAAUAAAUUGGAUGCUAAGG